rnacentral:rRNA from 1 species
CCUACGGGGGGCUGCAGUGGGGAAUAUUGGACAAUGGGCGAAAGCCUGAUCCAGCCAUGCCGCGUGUGUGAAGAAGGCCUUCGGGUUGUAAAGCACUUUCAGUGGGGAAGAAAGCCUUGGGGCCAAUACCCUCGAGGAAGGACAUCACCCACAGAAGAAGCACCGGCUAACUCCGUGCCAGCAGCCGCGGUAAUACGGAGGGUGCGAGCGUUAAUCGGAAUUACUGGGCGUAAAGCGCGCGUAGGCGGUCUGAUAAGCCGGUUGUGAAAGCCCCGGGCUCAACCUGGGAACGGCAUCCGGAACUGUCAGGCUAGAGUGCAGGAGAGGAAGGUAGAAUUCCCGGUGUAGCGGUGAAAUGCGUAGAGAUCGGGAGGAAUACCAGUGGCGAAGGCGGCCUUCUGGACUGACACUGACGCUGAGGUGCGAAAGCGUGGGUAGCAAACAGGAUUAGAUACCCGAGUAGUC